UACGGAGGGUGCAAGCGUUAAUCGGAAUUACUGGGCGUAAAGCGCACGCAGGCGGUCAAUUAAGUCAGAUGUGAAAGCCCCGAGCUUAACUUGGGAAUUGCAUCUGAAACUGGUUGGCUAGAGUCUUGUAGAGGGGGGUAGAAUUCCAGGUGUAGCGGUGAAAUGCGUAGAGAUCUGGAGGAAUACCGGUGGCGAAGGCGGGUUCCUGGACAUUAACUGACGCUCAGGUGCGAAAGCGUGGGGAGCAAACAGG
rnacentral:rRNA from 1 species